GGGAGUAUCGCAUAGCGGCAAUUGCAACUGGCUGUAAACCAGUCACCCGAAAGGUUUCGGUGGUUCGAGUCCAUCUGCUCCCA
rnacentral:tRNA from 1 species